rnacentral:rRNA from 1 species
UACGUAGGGGGCAAGCGUUGUCCGGAUUCAUUGGGCGUAAAGAGCGUGUAGGCGGCCAGGUAGGUCGGUUGUGAAAACUGGAGGCUCAACCUUCAGAGGUCGACCGAAACCAUCUGGCUAGAGUCCGGGAGAGGAGAGUGGAAUUCCUGGUGUAGCGGUGAAAUGCGUAGAUAUCGAGAGGAACACCUGCGGCGAAGGCGGGUUGCUGGGCUGACACUGACGCUGAUGCGCGAAAGCUAGGGGAGCGAACGGG